CUGGAGUUGCUUUUCAGAGGAGUAAUGUGAUAGUGGAAGUAAGUGCUUGCUAAAUGCUGAGCGCUGUACUUUGGGCUUUCCUUGCCUUAUCUAAUUCUCCUCUUACCCUCUAGUAAGCAUAGCUGUUCUCAUUUUAUUAAUGAGGAAGCUGAGGCUUGGAGUAACUUGGCCACUUAUCUGAAAUAACUCAGCUGCUAGGGGUCAGAACUGAUGUGUGACUGCAGUUCCCUGUGACAGACAGCCCAGUUCCUGGUCUCUGAGGCUUGGGAACUCCCCUGGCUUUCCCUCCAAGGCCCAUGUCACCAGCUGCUAUGGUUUGCUUGGUCUUUGGAGUCACCUGGAGUAUACGUUAGCAAUCGGAUUUCCGGGACCCACUCCAGUCCUGCUGUGUCAGUCUCUCCAGGAGCGGAGACUGGGAAAACGUACAGUUGUCCCUGGAGUACGCUGAGUCACCAACGAGGUUGCUCACAGGAGCACUUGUGGACGCACCGCCUUCCUUUUGCCCAGCCAGUCUCCUUCCCGCGUUGCGAUCUGUAGCAAUCUGUAGGAGCUGGGGUUCCUUCUGCCCUCUUACCCAGCACCUGCCAUCCACGGGCACAUCUGGAAC
ensembl:lncRNA